rnacentral:lncRNA from 1 species
GGUUGUGGCUCAGUAGUAGAGCAUUUGCCUAGCAUGUGUGAGGCACUGGGUUUGAGUCUCAGCACAACAUAUAAAUAAGAUAAAAUAAAGGUCCAUCAAUGAUUAAUUUUUUUAAAACACUAUAUCAUAUAUUUGUUUUUAAAAAUGGCUUCAUCAAAAUUAGACUAAAAUAGUCAUGUGAAAAAUUCACCAUCAUUAUCAUUAUCAGUAUUUAGUAAAAAGUGUACUUUUAAAUCUGGAAUUGGGCAGAGUUUUGUGGGGAAGGAAAAGAAGAGGGCAAAGGCAAAUACUGAACAUAUUCUAAUAUAGGAAGCUGUCUCUGUUUCAGCAUAAAAUAUUUCUGAUGUCUGAACUGAAAGUCAAGAGUAUCAAUUAAUUGGUACAGACGUGAGCAACCUGUGUUUUAGAUGGCAAAAUAUCUAGUCUUUCCUGACACGGCAAUUGUCCGUUCUAGAGUGAAAAAGCUAUUGGCCCUGUAACUGCUAUUGGGAAAUGAUUGAACAUCUCCAGCCAUUGUGUAGGCAGCUCAUUGUUUCAUGGCAUAUUUUCUCUCAUGGGAAAAAACCCAAAAAUGAGUACAGACUGUCAUUUCAUCCAGAUCUUAAAAUUUCUCAGUUGUAUUUUUAAUACCUAAAUGUUUGGGGGUUAUAAAGCAAAAUAAGAAUAGCAAACCAAAAAGGCACUUUCCAGGACAUUAAAUUCAUGAAUGAUAAAAUAAUAAUAAAGAAACGACAACUUGUAGGACUUUCUUGGUUAUGCAUAUGUUUGUUAAUGCAGCUACAACAUUUGGUCAGGUGAGUAUCAUCAACAUGCUCAUAUUUAUAUAGUGAUAUUAAAAUAAAUACAAUUAUCUUUGCUUUGAUUUUUAAUAUUUGGUAUUAAAAUCCAUAUGGGUUUAAAAGUCUCAGUUUCUGCUGAAUAACAUUUUUAAUUUCAAAAGGGUUUUGUUUCCCUGUGUGCUACAUUCUGAGACUCAAGAGUAUGUCUUCUAAAUUAAAAUAUCUUUUUAGGGAUUAGAGAUGUUGUAUCAUCUAGGACUAUAAUAUUAAUAAAAUAAACUAUAUACAUGAAAAUAUUUAUCAUAUUUUCUGUCAUUAAAAAGUUCAACUUAGAAAAGGGCUUAUUUUCUUACGUAUUGACAUUUUGUUGUUGUUGUUAGUAAAGAGAACUUAGUUUCUAGUAGAUUGUUAAUAGUCUCAGGAAGAGAAUUCAUUCAAGUCAGAAGUAACUGUGUGCUUGUUCCCAUAUCUGCAGCUCAUGGCUCAGCGCUUUGGCUGUCCUUUUAGCUUCUAGCUAUCCUAUUAUAAGCAGUAGUGCAGUGUGGCCCACACCCCCUUUCCUCCAGGACUGAGAAUAAGCAGGAAUCUCAGGAAUUGGUGAGGGAAAGCUAAAAUGGCAACUUCUGUUUCCCUGUAUGCUAUUCAUAGGGAAAAGGAGGACUAACCAUAGAUAAUAGGAAGGAGAGGGCUUGCCCUCCAGGGACCUGGUAGAUUGGACAUAAGUAAGUAAACAUUGCAUAGGCACAAUGAUGUAACAGAUUGUAGACUCAAAAGAUAACCCUUUAAACAUGAAGAGAACAGUGCUUGGUGGAAGAGCAACUGUACGUUGGAAUAUUCCCUAGAGCUGCUUUAAAGCCACACUGAACAACAAAUCAACAUAUUCUGAAAUAGAGACCCGUUCCACAAUGCUGAGACACCCGGCAGGAUGCACUACAGAGGGAGCAGGCAUCUUAAACAGCCACAGAGGCCUGUGGGAGCCAGCAAGUCUCUACAGUGUGGGAAACCACUAAGUGCGUGCCAUAUUUAGGGAGUGGGGAGGCCGUGCUAAGUGCUCCAUCUUCAAAAUUUGACAACCAAUUCCAGUUUUUAGAAAAUGCCUCAGGCCAAUUGAAGCCUUCUAGUCACUCAUUUGCUGCUGUCUCUGAAUAAUUAUUGAUAAAGCUAUCGUGUUUAGUAAAAGAAAACACACAGUACCAGAAUCAAGCAGGGAGCUAAAAACGCAUGUGAAAAUUGAGAAAUCUGAAAGCAAAUCUGGGUUGCCAUCUCUGAACUGGAAUGUUUCCACGGACUUGAAUAAUUUAUGAAAUUAUCAUGCCAGUACUUCUCAUAUCACCAAGUAGACUUUUUAUCCCCCUGCAGUAGAGGAUUACUAUAUUUGCCUC